AACAACCGAUGUCACCGAAUGACUGUCCCGUUGCCUUGUAUUCUGGUCUGUGAGGCUACUGUCAGACAGUAGUGUAAACAUGGAGGACGGUGCUACGAGCAGGUGACUACCAGUGUGAUAUCACGUGCCCAGAAAGCAACAGCACAUUUGAGGAAUACAGGAGCCUGCGUGAAACAGCUCAGUGAAGCCUGAUUUCUAAAAGCUCCAUCCAUGAAGCUGCUUUGAUCCAGAGUCCACGUUGUGAUCAUUCCCCACCAACAGCACUUGAACACAUCGGUGCCAGGCCUGUUUGACUAAGACUUAAGAGAGAACGCAAGGAGACGUGACAUGCAUCCC